ACUCUUCGGUGACUGGCAAUGCUUCCUGAAUGAAAGAAACAUCUACUUGACCUCCUCACAGUCUCCCUUUCUAUAGUGCAAGCUCGACUAGACAGUUUUGACAAUAGUGAUAUUAAGGCUCUGCUUGGUGCCAUGCAAUCUGCAUUUGGGGUGCCAGCUAGCCACAGGACUCAUCUGGAAAAAAACAACGGCCCAACCCUGAGAACUUUGGGAUUCACGGGAAAUUACAGUUCCCCUGAUGAUGCAGGACCGGACCAGGAUUUCACUCAUCAACUGGCCUAGAUUAAGGAGAAAGAAAUCUACAUUUCUGAACCUGGUAACGUCUGAGCAUACUCAUGGAAGAAAGAGCUGGCCUAUGAGCGGUGGAUAUUAUGGCUGGAGCUGCAGCAGCCAUCAUGCCAACAUGAGGGAAAAGCUGAUGGAAUUGUGGAGACUUUGGCCUUGUGAUUCAGCCCUGGAUGAGUUGUCUCCACAUUACUUAUCAUAUAAGAGAAAAACCAAUCUAUAUCUUUUGUUGAAAGCCAUGAUUAUGUAGGUUUUAUAUAUAUAUAUAUAUAUAUAUAUAUAUAUACAAUUUUUUAUUUUUAGAGGCUUUCCAGCAAAAAAAAAAAAAAAAACAGAAAGACCACUAAGCAAAUUCUAAAAGAGCUGUAACACUAAUGUAGGUAUUAUUUUUAAUAAGCAGAACAAAAAAUUCUGAAACUGAUUUCUGUUUCUUUCACAUACUUUUAGGAGCCUUUUAUUUACAUUGAAUAAACAUUGUGCCCUCCCUGCCUUAUAAUAAUAACUGAGAUGCAGGAAAUUUGAAAAAGCCCAUGUCUUUGAAAAGCAGGAUAAAAUAUACAUUAAGGAAUAACAAAACAGAGAUUUAGAAAAGAAUUCCAGAGUAUUUUAUAAUAUACUUGUUGUAUAAGUGAGUGCAUUGAGACUCAUAGGGAUUGGAUAACUUCAAAUCAAACUGCCUCUUGGCAGCAGAACAUAAUGUAAUUCAGUUUUGGUGACACCUACUUCAGUGCUAUUUUCAAAAAUCCACACAAACAACCUGAAUUACAAAGAAAACGGCAAAAAGGAAUUCAACUUAUAAGUCUAUGCCCUUUAGAAUAAGUUUCGAGCAUGCUAUUUCUAAAUAGUUAUUUUGCUAUUAUUAUGUGUUUCAUUGUGCAAACAAUUUGGAAAACACUGUAAUAGAUUUAACAGGUUUGCUUCCUUAAGACUCUUCAGAGCCCCCAAUUUAUGAAAGUACACAAUAAAUCUUGAAAAGAGAAA